AUGCCCACCAUCAUCCAUUGCAGCCCACAGGUGGCAAUAAAUGCAGAUGAAAGUUUAGAACCUCUUGUUCAAGUGCAGUGAUCGGUCAAUUGAACAUAGGAAAGUUACUUGGGCUAUAAAUCCUGCAUAUCAGAACACCUAAUUUGCAGAACAGGAUGGGAAAUCAGUGGAAAGAAACGGUAGAAGAAGAGAGGCAAAGAAUUUCUGUUUACUACUUUUUUCCUCCUCAGUGGGUGAAAGGGGGAAGGCUCAUCUCUCUGUCGUUGUCUUAAAACUGAAAUGUUUUUUUUUUUUUUAAUAAUAAUAAAU
rnacentral:misc_RNA from 1 species